UACGUAGGGUGCGAGCGUUAAUCGGAAUUACUGGGCGUAAAGCGUGCGCAGGCGGUCUGUUAAGACCGAUGUGAAAUCCCCGGGCUUAACCUGGGAACUGCAUUGGUGACUGGCAGGCUUUGAGUGUGGCAGGAGGGAGGUAGAAUUCCACGUGUAGCAGUUGAAAUGCGUAGAGAUGUGGAGGAAUACCGAUGGCGGAAGGCAGCCUCCUGGGC
rnacentral:rRNA from 1 species